GAAAUAGGAAAAGCAUGGCGAGAAUGGCAUGAAGUGAAGAAGUGAGGGAAUGGAGGUGGGACCAAGUGAGAGAAUGUGGGAUGACAGAUGCAGGAAAACAUGAAUAAAUAAUAGUAGACAAUGACGACGACGUGGAAGAGUUGAAGGCGUUGAUCGAUGGAAGUCGAGGAUCGAAUAUUCACUUUUAUUUUUCCAUAAUAUUAAUAUGAAAAAAAUAUUAAAUGUUUCAAUCUGCCUCACUUCUCGGAACUCAACUGCUAAUGGUCGUCGGUUUCACUUAAUGCCUUCCUGAAUCUCUCUCGCUCUCUAGUUUAUAAUUAGAAGCAGUGUCGAACAAACCAGUGGUUUGGUGUGGGGUGUGGACUGUGGAGUAGUGGGAGCAUAUCAUCAUCAUCAUCCAUCAGAGUGCUGAGAAUUCGGAAGGCGAAGAUGGAGGUUGGGUUCUUAGGGCUUGGGAUCAUGGGCAAGGCAAUGUCCAUGAAUCUCCUCCGCAAUGGCUUCAAGGUCACCGUCUGGAACAGGACUCUCUCUAAGUGCGAAGAGCUUGUGGAGCAUGGUGCCUCCAUUGGAGAAACCCCUGCAGAAGUUGUGAAGAAGUGCAAGUACACCAUAGCAAUGCUAUCAGAUCCUUCAGCUGCUCUGUCGGUGGUUUUUGACAAGGAUGGUGUGCUUGAGCAAAUGUGCAGCGGAAAAGGCUACAUAGACAUGUCAACGGUAGAUGCUGAUACAUCAAUAAAGAUCAGUGAGGUAAUUACAAAAAAGGGAGGUUACUUCCUUGAAGCUCCUGUCUCAGGUAGCAAAAAGCCAGCUGAAGACGGUCAAUUAGUCAUUCUCGCCGCUGGGGAAAUGUCCUUAUAUGAUGAAGCCAUCCCUGCUUUCAAUGUCAUGGGAAAGAAGUCUUUCUUUUUGGGGCAGGUUGGCAAUGGGGCAAAGAUGAAACUUGUGGUUAACAUGAUAAUGGGCAGCAUGAUGAAUGCAUUUUCUGAGGGGCUGGUCCUUUCUGACAGAAGUGGACUGAGCCAGCAAACACUUCUUGACGUAUUGGAAUUGGGUGCUAUUGCUACUCCAAUGUUCAAGAUGAAAGGACCAGCUAUGAUCCAGAACAAUUAUGCCCCUGCUUUUCCUCUGAAGCAUCAGCAGAAGGAUAUGAGAUUAGCUCUUGCACUGGGGGACGAAAAUGGGGUAUCAAUGCCUGUAGCUGCAGCUGCGAAUGAGCUUGACAAGCGAAGAUAAACCACGAAAUCCCAAGCUCUUCACCCUUCUAUUGGGACCUCAUUUGGACCUAGUGCCUUGCCUAUUUUCAUCCUCCUUAAAGCUUCUUUCAAUUGAGGCAUUCAAGAAAGCAAGAAGUAUGGGAUUUGGGGACCAUGAUUUCUCAGCGAUCUAUGAGACGGUGAAGACUUUAGGACAUUCUAAAUAAUGCAAUUGGCAAGAGUAAUGUGAAUAAAAAAGAGACUAAAGAUCUGAUUUGUGGUGGCUCAUGAUACUGGAAUUGAGUCUCCUUUAUUUGACCCAAAUUUUUUUUUUUUUUUUUUUUUUUUUUUUAUUGUCUUUCAUUCAAGCAUGUCAUGAUUUAUGUUGUAUAUCUAGCGCAUACGUUGAGUUUGAGACCUAAUAUUUGAUGUUAAUAUACUUGGAUCACCUUGCA